UUUUAGCCCCUCCCCCCAACACUCUCUCUCCCCCCUCCACCUUUAUUCCUUCCUCACACCGUCUCUCCAACCCUUAAAUGGGCUGAGCUCGAACUCGAUUUUUAGGCUCGUUUAUAAACUAGUUGAGCUUGAGUUUUGUAGUAUGCGGUUUGUUAAGGCUCGUGAGCAAAUUCGUUUAAUAGGCUCAUGAAUAAGUUCGUUCGUAAAAAUAUUUAUAUCAGUUAUUGCAUUUUAUUAUAUUAUAGAUAUUUAUUAUUUUAUUUAUAAAUGUUCUAAAAAUAAUAUAUUGUUUAAGAUUAUGAUAUGCUCG
rnacentral:misc_RNA from 1 species